rnacentral:misc_RNA from 1 species
UCUCCGUAGGUGAACCUGCGGAGGGAUCAUUACGAAAUAGACGCCUCUGCGUCAACCUCGACUUCCUGUGAGAGCAAAAGGCUUGCCUUGACGCAUACGGCGUCAGAUUUAUGCGGAUUUGCCAUUGAGUCUGAGACGAAACAAGUUUUAAAACUUUCAACAAAGGAUUUCUUGGCUCUU